rnacentral:rRNA from 1 species
AACGAACGCUGGCGGCAGGCCUAACACAUGCAAGUCGAGCGCCCCGCAAGGGGAGCGGCGGACGGGUGAGUAACGCGUGGGAACGUACCCCUUUCUACGGAAUAGCCUCGGGAAACUGGGAGUAAUACCGUAUAAGCCCUACGGGGGAAAGAUUUAUCGGGAAGGGAUCGGCCCGCGUUGGAUUAGGUAGUUGGUGGGGUAAUGGCCUACCAAGCCGACGAUCCAUAGCUGGUUUGAGAGGAUGAUCAGCCACACUGGGACUGAGACACGGCCCAGACUCCUACGGGAGGCAGCAGUGGGGAAUCUUAGACAAUGGGCGCAAGCCUGAUCUAGCCAUGCCGCGUGAUCGAUGAAGGCCUUAGGGUUGUAAAAGAUCUUUCAGUGGGGAAGAUAAUGACUGUACCCACAGAAGAAGCCCCGGCUAACUCCGUG